rnacentral:lncRNA from 1 species
CCAAAAUAAAUAUUUCUCAAACUCCAAAGUAACUUUAAAUUAACGAUAAUUUAAUGCUUUUGGUGAUUCCUGUUGGCUUAAGAUGUGGAAUAAAAGUAUACUUUAAAACAUAAUUACUUGGACCAAUAAUCAAAGAUAUAAAAUAAUGGGUGAAAACUGUUAACUUUACUUCAUUAUUUAUUUUGUUUAAAAAAAACAGAAUUCAUACAGAUGCAAAAAUAACUUAUUACCUGUUCUAAUAAAAAAAAACACUGGU